rnacentral:rRNA from 1 species
GACGAACGCUGGCGGCGUGCCUAAUACAUGCAAGUCGAACGCAGUGGGGACGGGUGAGUAACACGUGGGUAACCUCCCGUCAGAGGGGAUAACACUUGGAAACAGGUGCUAAACCGAUACUGAUGGAUGGACCCGCGGUGCAUUAGCUAGUUGGGGGGGUAACGGCUCACCAAGGCCACGAUGCAUAGCCGGCCCGGGAGGGUGGUCGGCCACAAUGGGACUGGGACACGGCCCAGACUCCUGCGGGAGGGCGCAGUGGGGAAUCUUCGGGAAUUGGCGAAAGCCUGACCGAGCAAAGCCGCGUUGGUGAAGAAGGCUUUCGGGUCGUAAAACUCUUUUGUUAGAGAAGCGGUAUCUAACCAGAAAGCCACGGCUAACUACGUGCCAGCAGCCGCGGUAAUUC